UACGGGGGAGCAAGCGUUGUUCGGAUUACUGGCGUAAAGGGCGCGUAGGCGGCGUAACAAGUCACUUGUGAAAUCUCCGGACUUAACUCGGAGCGGUCAAGUGAUACUGUUGUGCUAGAGUGCGGAAGGGGCUACUGGAAUUCUCGGUGUAGCGGUGAAAUGCGUAGAUAUCGAGAGGAACACCUGCGGCGAAGGCGGGUCUCUGGGCAUUAACUGACGCUGAGGAGCGAAAGCAUGGGGAGCGAACAGG
rnacentral:rRNA from 1 species